GACAGAGGUGCCGAGCGUUAGGCGGAAUCACUGGGCUUAAAGCGUGUGUAGGCGGAUCGUUAAGUAUCUUGUGAAAUCCCCCGGCUCAACCGGGGAACUGCUGGGUAUACUGGCGAUCUUGAGCAAUCUAGGGGCAGAUGGAACAAAUGGUGGAGCGGUGAAAUGCGUAGAUAUCAUUUGGAACGCCAAUGGUGAAAACAGCUCGCUGGGGGUGUGCUGGCGCUGAGACACGAAAGCCAGGGGAGCAAACGGG
rnacentral:rRNA from 1 species